rnacentral:rRNA from 1 species
CAGAUUGUAAGGAAUCGUACCCCAAACCGACACAGGUGGUCGGGUAGAGAAUACCAAGGCGCUUGAGAGAACUCGGGUGAAGGAACUAGGCAAAAUGGUACCGUAACUUCGGGAGAAGGUACGCUCUCGACGGUGAAGUCCCUUGCGGAUGGAGCUAUUGAGAGUCGCAGAUACCAGGUGGCUGCAACUGUUUAUUAAAAACACAGCACUGUGCAAAAUCGUAAGAUGACGUAUACGGUGUGACGCCUGCCCGGUGCCGGAAGGUUAAUUGAUGGGGUUAGACUUC